UGUUCAACUCCCACUCCUCUCCCCUGGGAACUAAUCUUUUCAUUGCCUCUGUAGUUUUUAAGUCUUUGAUUUUCCAACUAUAGGCAUGCAUUAAGUUGAUUAAGAAAAAUGCAGUGGCUUUCACCUAAAACACGGACAUCUGGCUUCUUUCGAAAUACCAGCUCAGGGCUGUCACCGUGCCUGGGAGCUUUGGAUGAAGCUCCAUAGCUGGGCAUCCUUUUGGAUAAGAGUUGUCCUUCUGAGUUUGCUAUUGCCCCAAACAGUAACUGUAUUGCAACCAACCACUCCACAUGGACAUCAGUUUCAUUUAAAAAACGUGUCAAGAACAAGAACCACUAUGGGGAAGACAUCUAAAGGUACAUGCCCGGACGUGGAAUUGCUCUUGGGAUCACAGGGUGAUUGCGUGCUUCCUUUUUUGAGGACCCACCGUGUUGUUUUCCACAGUGGCUGCACCAUUUACCUUCCCGCCUACAGUGUGCAAAUCAAGAAUCUGUGUUCACUUAACUUUGUAUUCCUACCGCCUGGAACUGUACCUGUCGUCUGGACAUGGAGUGCUCAGAAAGUGUCUGUGGGGCGCAUGCACGAGCAAGAAAGGCCUCGCUGAGAAUCCAGUGGGCUCGAGGGGGUGAGCUGUGUCGGCUUCAGCAGGAACAAGACAGGGGCAGGAGCGGGAGAGUCUGGGCUCCGUGGUCAACAGGAAGCUCGACCAACGGCUGCCCAGGGGGACCCGGUCUUGGACGCCGAAUUAACUCAUUUUCCAGCUCAGACACCAAGAGUGUCCCUUUGUCAGAGGUCUCUGUCUAUAACUUCUAAAACUAUUUUAGCUCUUUCAGUGGGCAGGCAGGACGAAUUCUUCACGUUAAAAAAAAAAAAAAAAC